rnacentral:lncRNA from 1 species
GACCUUGAUCUAAUAAUCAAAUGAAAAUGAAACAUAAAGUUGUGAAGGAUUUUUUUAGUUACAUACCUCAAAUGUGUCUCCAACAUUCAUAAUGAAAGCAUUAGGCAGGGGUGGAACAGAAAUCCAUUGUCCAUCCUUUCUAAUUUGAAGGCCUUCCAUAUCAUUGAUUUCAAGAAGGAUUGUGAGGCCACNNNNNNNNNNUUUGUUGGCAAGUUUUUCCAACUCUGCACAAUAUAUCUCUAAAUUUUCUCUACAUUUGAAUUAGAUUGAAAAUGUCACUAACACAAACAAUGAUCAAUAAUAAUUAAAGAAAAAUGUUAUUUGAACACCAAUUUUUAAACAAAAAUACUACAACCUACGUAAAUCAUGUGAAAAUUAAAUGGAAAAUUGUCAAAGACAAAAUGGUCUUUUACAACAAAACAAUUUUUCUAUUGAAAAUACUUCUAUAUGAAUCGAAUGAUGUUUUGAUAUCUUAUAUGUAUUCUAAAAAAAUAAAAAUAAAAAUAAAAAAUUAACUAAAAUUUUAAAAGUAGAGUGAAUGUGUGCGCGCGCGAGAGAACCUGAAUGUUUGGGGCAUAUGAUCGUAUAUAUGAGGUUUUCUUGUGUGAGGUGGUAGUGUGUUCAAGAAAAAAGCAUCUCCCCAUUCUAAUUUUUGUUCCUCAGAAAAAAUGAAGGCCUGACCAAAUCCCUCCAUGUCUCCUUCUAUCUGCCAUAGCUUCUUCUUUUCUUCCAUUGAAAGUUCAAACAAAGAUUUAGAACUUCUCUUCAUACUUUCUAUCAAGGUAGUACUUACUCCAUGAUUAAUCACCUGCAAUGAUUAACCAACUAAGUGAAUAACUACUUGUUAUAUAGUAGUACUUAAUUACUCCAUAUUUUAUAAGGUUCGCAUUUUAGGAUGCGAACUGUUUUUUUCCCAAUUUUUGCUAUUUACACACUCGCAUCCUACAUUAUGAGGGAGUAGAAUUUGAAGGUCGGGGAGAGCGUGCAAGACUCAGGGGACGCGAAAAGAAGAAGUCUUAUUUCAUUAUAGUACAAAUAUUAAAUCAAACCUGAAAGAAACCCCAUUCUUUGCCAGCACAGUGUAGCUUCUCUAACUCAUGUCCCUUGAGAUUGAGAUCUUGGGACAACAAUUUUGCAAGAUCAAUGACAGGAACUUGAGGUAAAGAGGUAUUGUUAGAUAGUACUGCAAUUUCUUGAGCUGGAAGAACAUAUCGGUCUGGAACUUUGGUCAAUGGUUCAUUUGCUAGCACUUGUACAGAGGGCACUAGAAUAGAUGUUACUUCCAUGCUACUUUCACCUGAAUACAAGUGCAACACUAAAUUGUAAUAAAGAUUUCAUGAUAUUAAUGUCAGAUAACAUAUUAUCCUGUUAAAUUGUUAGGAUAGAGCUACAUCAAUGGUUUUAUAUUAUUUCUAACACGUCUUUUUACGCAAGAGCCCACUUGGACUUGAAGUGUGGAUAAUACAUAGGCCCACAUACAAUAUGUUUAAAUUCCACUUUUUAAUUAAAAAUUGAGGGGACCGGGGAUCGAACUCACCACUAAGUCAUAGAGGCUCUGAUAUCAUGUCAGAUAACCGAUUAUCCCAAAAGUUUAAACUGUUAGAAUAAAGCCACAUCAAUGGUUUUAUAUUAAAGAGUAGAGUUAUGCUUUGAUAUCUUCCUACCAAAUGUAGAUAUGAAGGUUAGAAAUUUAAUGGUUUUAGUUUCACUCAAAAAGGAGUUAAGUAGCUUAAGUUAUGAUCAAAAUAAUUCAUUAAAAGUAAUUUUUUUUUGACAUCAUUAAAAGUAAAUUAAUAAUAGAAUAUAAAAAAAUAUUAAUAGUAAUAAAAAAUACAAACAAAUUUAUCUUUAUAAAAAGUUAAGCAGCUUAUUCUGAGAAUAAAUCUAUUUUUAAAAUAAUUCAAUAAAAAUAAUUGGCUCAUGCGUAUAGAAAAAUUCGGUUGGAAGGGGAGAACUACUUUAUGUGUCCCACAGGUUUCUCGACGAAGAUUAGACAUCGCUAAUGACGGUAGAAACUUCAUACCAAUAUUAUAAUAAUAAAUAAAAAGACUGCAUCAUUAAAAAUGGCUAUUUCAAAGAAAUUUAUUUUCUUUUAAAAUUACCCCAUAACUCUAACUUGACCAUUUUAAAAAAUUAAUUAACAAUUGUAUAUUCAAUUAUAAAGCUUUUGAUUUUGGAGUUUGCUAACUUAGAUCCACCUAAAAAUAUGAAGGUCUAAGUUAACAAGGUGCACUUUUUCACUUUAGACCAAAACACUAUUUUUUACUAUUUUAAAUUUUAAUAUAGUUUCAAGCCAAUGAUAGUUUAGUAAAACUGAUUUGAUGUUUUUACAUGAAGAUCUAAAUUAGAAAGGUGUAUCUUUCAAAGUUGAGUAACAUGAUGUUUUCUUUAGUUGCCAUUCUUAAGUGUGUUCUCCAUUAAAAACAUGAAUUGAAUGAUAGUUUUCAAAAAGAUAAGAACUGAGGGAGACAGAGAAAGAAAAUAUAAGCAAAAGUAUAGAGCUAGGGAAAUUAAAGAGCUGAAAAAAUUGGAAAAAGGAAUGAAAAAUGAGAUAACAAAAUGGAAAGGAAUAAGAAAGUAAAAAAUAAAUUAAUUAAACAAACACACCUUAAGCUUUAGAUCGGUUUGUAUCUGUUUAGAGUGUUUGUCUUAGAAAGAUGAAUGCUCUUUUAUAGAAAUGGGUUUAGGUGGAGUCCCACAUCACACUAAAACAAGUGAGCUCCAUUUAUUUAAGUGAUUAGUUUCAUAUAAGCUUAAAAUGAGUGUUUCCUCCAAUUAAGGUCAUACUAAUUAAUUUUUCCGGUAGUUAAAAAACUAAAAAAUGUAAAUUUUACAAUAAAAAUGGUAUUUUAUAUACUAAUCAAUUCUAAUGCUUAUUAUGCUACACUCGAAGUUACUGCGCUUAUCGGUGAAUAUGAGUCACAUAUGCUUUGUAGUAUCUUAACAAAUAAUUUUUUUAAAAAAAACAAGUGAUAAAAAUGAUAAUUUUAUUACAUUAACUAUUAUAUUUUUUUUCUUUAAGGAUUAGCUAUAUGAUUUUUAAUGACAAGGUGAAAAGAUAAAACAAGAACAAAAGUGGCAAGAGAAAAAUGCAAAGCUAGCCAACUCAACCUCAUCUCACAGAGUUAUUUUUUAAUAAUUAUAGUGCAUUAUAACAAAAACUAAUUAAAAAAUUGACUAUUCUUCAAAAGAUGCCUAUGUUGGUUUGAAACAAAAGGAAGAAGACAAACUCCUCAUGAACCAUAGUAAGGUCGAAUAAACCCAUCUCCUAUGGUUGAAAUUGACCAGAGCUUCAAGUUGUGAUAUCUUGGUAGUUUUACAACUCAUUCAAAUUUAAGCAAAUUGAGAUAAUUUUUUAAGGAUUAAUUGGAUGUGCAUCUCUUUGAUCCUCCUUGAGUUGCUAGGACUACACAAGAUGUGCAACUUGAUCGUUUUUAACUCAUUUUCAAAACACAAACAAACUCAUCAUUCAAUAUCUUUUUAUUUAAUCAAACUCUCACAUCUUUUUACCGAAUCACAAAAAUUUUGUUUAAAAUUAUAACCAACACACGAGCAUUUUCUACCAUAGAACUACGUAGCUUUGAAUUCUCCAUUGCAAUAAAAAGGAGAAAAUAAACAUUUCGAAGUUAACAAAUUUUAGCACAAUUAAUUAAAGGUUACCGUUUUGUUGGAUAAUCACGAGGGGGCAGCCGGGGAUCAUCCACAUUGGGCUUAAGAACAACUCUACAAGUGAGUUGGACACCACACUCUUACCCAAAACCUUAAGGUGUUAGGUUUAUGGGUCAUCUCACUUAUAAAGUGUUCANNNNNNNNNNNNNNNNNNNNNNNNNNGAAAUUGACCAGAGCUUCAAGUUGUGAUAUCUUGGUAGUUUUAAAACUCAUUCAAAUUUAAGCAAAUUGAGAUAAUUUUUUAAGGAUUAAUUGGAUGUGCAUCUCUUUGAUCCUCCUUGAGUUGCUAGGACUACACAAGUUGUGCAACUUGAUCGUUUUUAAACUCAUUUUCAAAACACAAACAAACUCAUCGCAAUUAACUUCCUGCAUUCAAUAAAAAUUUUCUUUAAAAUUAUAACCAACAUACGAGCAUUUUCUACCAUAGAACUACGUAGCUUUGAAUUCUUCAUUGCAAUAAAAAGGAGAAAAUAAACAUUUUGAAGUUAACAAAUUUUAGCACAAUUAAUUAAAGGUUACCGGUUUUUAAUGGAUGUCUUAGGGUCCUAAUACCUUUUCUACGCAUAAUCGACUUCAGAAUUCGAAAUUUGGUUUCAAAGACCUUUUUUGUUUUAAAGGGCUUUCCAACAUUUUUUCUAUUUCAAUAAAUUUUAGUGGUGACUUCAUUGUUUUAGAUCAACCCUCAAAUUUUAGACUGUAAGACACUCAUUAGAGAUGAAAGUGAAUGAAAAAAAAGAACAAAGAAAGUUUUACUUAUUUUUAUUUGCAUAUAAAAGUUGUGACAUGCACACUUUUCUUAUCAUCAAUAUUAAUCUAAGCCAACUCCUAUACAAUGCUACUAAUAUCAUCUUUUAAAAAAAGGAGUUGUUAUUAUUCUCCACCCUUUCUAAUACCCAUUUGUAUUUUUGACUUUUUCUUGUCUUUAUUUCAUAAUUCAUAUAUAUAAUAUUAUAUUUCUCAUUAAAAAAAAAUCAUUCUCCAUCCUUUGUGAUCCUCAUUUCAUUUAGAUAUGAUUUUCCACGAAGCUCUUGUGCAAAGUACCCAUUAAAGUGGUCUACAACACUAAUUCUUCUAAAUUGUGCUGGUGUUUCUUGAGUAACAAGACUUGGUGCUGGAGCUAAAAUUGCUUGCAUGUUAGGUCCAUAAAAAGUAGCUAGGGAGAUUCUCUCCUUCUCUGAAUUAACUGUUGCUCGAUGCUCAAUGCUCGGAUAAAUUCCAUUUGUUAUAAUCUGCACAUUAAAUGAGUUUAUAAAGAGUGAUAUCUCUUACUUUAAAUGAGUUAGACUCAAUAAAUAUAAAAACCUAAGACGUACCUCUAACAUGUCUCCGAUAUUGAUUAUGAAAGCAUUAGGCAGAGAUAAAACAGGAAUCCACUGUCCAUCCUUUCGUAUCUGAAGGCCAUUUAUAUCACCGAUUUGAAGAAGGAUGGUUAGGCCACCAACAUCAGAAUGAGAUUUUAAGCCAAUGACUCGUUCUGGUUGAGGGCAUGGAGGAUAAUAAUUCACCCUUAACAUUUGAGUUCCUGGGUUGAACAACUCUGUCAUUUCCUUCGGAUUUAUUGCCAAAGCAUUUGCCAUAUGUUCAAUGACUUUGAUUGCAAGUUUUUCCAAUUCCGCAGAAUAUAUCUCUAAAUGUUCUCUACAUUUGCAUAAGGAUGAUAGAUGAUGUCACUUACAAAAACAAUUAUACACAAGUAUUGGUAAAUUUUUUAGUAAAAAAAAUGAAAGGCGUCAAAAAAAAAGAAAAAGAAGAGUGAGUGUGUGCGCGCGCGAGAGAACCUGAAUGUUUGGGGGAUUUGGUUGUAUAUAGUGGGUUUCCUUAAGUGAGGAGGUAGAGUUGUCAAGAAAAAAGUAUCUGCCCAUUCAAGCUUCUGUUCCUCAGAUAAAAUGAAUGCCUGACCAAAUCCCUCAAUCUCUCCUUCUUUCUGCCAUAGCUUCUUCUUUUCUUCCUUUGGUAGUUCAUACAGUGUUUUAGUGUCUCUCUUCAUAUAUUCAAUCAAGGAACUACUUAUUCCAUGAUUAACCAGCUACAAUCAUUUUAUUGUUACACAUAUUAGUUUAUAAAAUCAUCCGCAUCAAUAUAUAUAUAUGUAUUAUGCACAUUCAUUUACUUGAUAGUAAUUAAAAUACUACUCCCUCCGUCCCGAAAUGUAAGGGAAAAUGGGUCAACGAAAAUUAAUGUAUUUGGUUUAAAGUUCAGAAAAUUCAUAAAUCAUUUACAUUUGAAUAAUAUUGCAUUUUUCAAUAACCUCAAUUUGGCAAGAAUCGAACUCAUGACACCUUGGUUAAUUGAACACUACUUAACCACUAGGCAAGAAGCAUUCUUGUGAUAUAAAUUGAAGGUUACGAUAAUAAAUAACAAAAAUAUGUAUAUAUAUCUAUUAAAAACUGAAAAUUCUAGUGUGGCUAUAUAGCCACAGACCACAGUGUGCCUCUAUGUGGGUUUGCCCCUGACUAGAAAUAAUUUCAGCUAAAAUUUAAACAUGAGUUCAUCUGAAUCAUUUAUCUUUUUCUCAAGCUCAUGAAUUACUUAAGUCCAAUCAUUUGGAUCUAAGUAUAGUUAAGGUUCAAUUCCGUUUUUGGAGCCAAUUUAUUUUAACAUAUUUGGUUGUUUUCAUUGAUUUUGUCUUCAUAAUUGAUUCUAAUUUCAAGCUAAAAUUUGUAACUUUUAAGUCCAAACAUAAAUUUUACACUGAAUUUGAUAUUGUUCAACUCACUUUUAUAUAAAUGUAUAAUGUAUUCCAACAUAAAAUACUUUACAUUUAACUCACUUUUAACUAAAAUCAAUUUUUUUUUCACCAUAAAACCAAACAUACACUAAAAGCUUAAUUAGUUACUACUCAACGUUACUGCAGAGUGUAUAAUUUGACAAGACAUUAUUCGAUAAUAGCAUACACAUAUUAAAUCAAAUACCUGAAAGAAACCCCAUUCUUUACAGGCAAAGUGUAGCUUCUCUAGCUCAUGUCCCUUGAGAUUAAGAUCUGGAGACAACAAUUUGGCAAAAUCAAUGACAGGAACUUGAGGUAAAGAGGUAGUGUUAGAUAGUGCAGCAGUUUCAUGAUCUUGAAGAACAUAUCGAUCUGGAACUUGAGUCAACGGUUCCUUUGCUAGCUCUUGGACAGAGGGCACCAAAAUAGAUGUUACGUCCAUAUUGCUUUCAUAUGUCCAAUAAGGUUUCGCAAUAAUUAAUAAAUAGUGGAAGUUGUUGAUAAGGUUACACGGAUGAUGANNNNNNNNNNNNNNNNNNNNNNNNNNNNNNNNNNNNNNNNNNNNNNNNNNNNNNNNNNNNNNNNNNNNNNNNNNNNNNNNNNNNNNNNNNNNNNUUGAAAGAGAAUCCAACUAUGUUCAUCUUCAUUGUCACUAAGAAAUAUUAUAAUAAUGUAGAAAAGUGUAACAUCUUGUGACAUAUUUUGGAUAAUUGGAGAGGUAUAAUUCAAUAAUAAUGUAGAAAAUUGUAACAUCUUGUGACAUUAAUUUUUGGAUAAUUGGAGAAUCAUAAUUCUUUAUUAUUUAUUAUGAGAUUGAUAUAAUAUAAAAACAAAAAAAAAUAGAGAUGAGAAUGAUAUAAUAUAAGUGAUGUGGAAAAAAAAAAUAGAGAUGAAAAUGAUAUAAUAUAAGGAAGUGAUGUGGCAUUAUUGUGUGAUUUAAUUGGAUGUAAAUGGGUGAUGUGGAUUAGGGUUAAGAUGGAUAGUAGGAGAACUAUCUAGGAAUUAUAUAUAUAGAUUACGUAUACUAACUUGCUAUAUACUACAAUUUAUUUUGUUUUCAAUUUCUAAUAAAAUAUUUAAAUUAAUCAUUGUCAUUUUCAUACUAAAAAUAAAUUAUAGUCAUUUUUCUUUCUUUUUAAUAAAUUUAUUAGGGUGCUGCAAAUGAUAGGUGAUGAUUACGGGGUGCCAACAUAGUUGGGAUGUCAUAAUUAUCAUGUGAUGCCUUUGCACGCUAAUGUUUUAUAAAAAAAAAAAAAAAAUACUAAAAAUAAAUUAGUCUCUCUAUUAUAACUAAUCAGGACUAAUUUGUCCCUAAUAUGAAAAUAUCAAUGACUAAUUUGGAUAUCAGUUUUAUCAGGCACUAAAUUGAUCCAUACAAAAUUUGUGAGGGUUCGAAAUAAUGUCGGUAGGAGAUAUAUUAAACUUAGAGGAGAGGAACAGGAGAAAAACUCCUAACAUUUUUUGUUGGAGUAGAUCAUGUACAUGUAGUACAGGUUGAAGAAGUUAAUACCAUUUAUAUGUCCGAAAUCUCUCCCCAACCAUCCGGUUGAGGUAUGAGUUUUUCCCAAAUCAUUGUUACUAUGAUGUUUUAAAUCCUAAUGUUGAUCAUGAUUUGGCAAUUUCACAGCAGUAUUGAAAGAAAAAUGAUGGUAGUGACAUUGGGCAAAUGUUUAUACCAAUGAGGAAGAGAGAGCGACAACGAUCAAUUUUUUGAAGAACCGUGCACCUGUUAGGGAAUAGCUUUUCACUGAAGUGGUGUUUAAGGCCAAGAAAAAGAAUUUACAGAAGAGUUUUCAAGUUUGUAAUACCCACUCUAGGAGUAGGAUGUCAAACUGAGCUUUCUUUGUUCUUUUUUCUUUUUCUUUUCAUUUUUAUUUCUCUUAGUUUAUUAUGCUUCUUAUUUUCUCGCUAUUUUUCAUUUUUCUAGGUUUGACUUUUGUCACUUAGUUUUUAUUUCGCUUUUCAUGCUUGAGAAGAUUUUGGUUCAUGUCCCCCUUUUCUUUUUGUUCUUGCUUCAAUUUAUAUCUAUCUAGGGUGUUGCAGGUGACUCACCAUAUACUCUCCAUUUGCUAAAAAAAAUCUAAUAAUAAUAAUAAAUAAAAAAAAUUAUAUGUGACAUGUCUGCUACAUAAGCAAAACAUAUAGUGUUAUGUUAUUUUUUUGGGUACAUAGACGAAAUGACACCCUAUUGAAAACUCACACACACACAAAAUGGAGGGAUUGAGGGAUCGAACCCUGGUCAUGGCGUCCAACACCAAUAAUUUUGACAUUUCUGCCGGUUGAGAUAGGAUUUGUGGACAUGUCAUUUAAUUAGGUGACACAUCAUCAAAAUUGAAAACCAAAAUAAGAGGGCGAUCAAAUAUCUACAUUUACAGAAAUAAGGGACUAAAAUUGCGGAAAAAAUAAUAGGGGGAUCAAAAUUGUGGAUUUAGUAAAAUAGAAGGACAAAAAUUACAUUUAAACCUUUUUAAAAAUAGAAAAAUAAAUAAUCUAUUAAAAAUACACAUUAAAAAUAUUUUUUUAUUUAUAAAAGAAAUACAUUUUUUUAAGAAGUCGGUAUAGCUGUCACUUAUCACUUAUAUAACGGUAAUGAUUCACUUGGAGUGAAACACUUGACUUUGUUUUUGGGUUUGAACUUUGAAAGAUGAAAUUCUCUCCGAUCACCAUUCCCAUUCCAAACCCUAGUCCUUCUCCGCCGUCCGAUUUCUUGUACGACGACGGUGAAUUCGAGAAGCUCUUCGUUUUCUUACAGUGUAAUUUGCAAUCAAUUAAGAAAACGAAAACGAGAUUUCUUUCUCUCCAUCUCGAUUCGUGUUUGGCGUCAAUGUUCAUGAAGAAUCUUCAAACCCUAGAAAUGUGUUUUUAAAUUCGUGCAGAAAAAGUACAAACAAUAGAUAGUUUCUUGAUUCCACAUUCAACGAAUCUGCGCUCUCUCAAGGUAACCUUUGUAACUCUUCUGAAUUGGUUCAUUUCUCUUUCUUUUUCCAUUCUUGAUUCAUUAUAGCUUUAUUUUUGUGAGAUAUCUACUAUUCGAGAAAAUUGGAUUCUUCUUAUGGUGUUGAGAUUUUAGGAGAGAAAAUUGGAUUCUUGUUUAUUUAUGACUAUGUCUUUCUCUUUGCUCAAACAUAUUCAUACCAUGUAAAUUGUAAUGCAUGUUAUGAUCGAAACACCUUUAUGUAUGCGUCGAUAAAUUGAGAUAAUAACUUUGGAUUCGAAAUUUGACAUUUAAGCCUACAUGGUUUUAAAUACCAUAAAUUAGAAUGGUUGUAUUGUGCUGCGUUGGAUAGAAAAUAUGAUAUUCGAGGCUAUAUGGUUCAAACUCCAUAAAUUGAAAGGGUGAUUUUAUUUGAGGUUAUAUGGUUCAAUCCUCUUCAUCAUCGUCGUUGUUGUCACCUUCAUUCUUGAACCGUUUUCGUUCUGGUUCAUCGGUCGUGUUCCCGGUUCAUGGAAAUGUUUACCCUCUUGGGUAUGUAAAAGGAAUUUCCUUUGUUUACAUUCUCUUUGUUGUUGUUUUUUCCUUCAGUUUCACUUUAUGAUUUUAUUUCUCCUAUGUUGCUUUCUUUCAUGCCUUUUGUUUGGGCCCUGUCCCUCUCAAUGUUUUGUUCUGUUCUGUUAUUUUAUUCCUCGAAAAGAGUAAUUAUUAAACAAAGAAUCAAUAGUUCAGAUUGAAAGUGUGUUUGGUGUUUGACAUGUAUUGGUGCCUGACACGACAUUGAUAUACAUGCUUACAUUCGAUUAUAUUAUUUUCUCAAAUUAUUGUUACUAUCGAUGUGUACUGUCAGUGUCGUGUCCGCUGGUUGUGUUUCGUUGCUUCUUUAGAUAUCGAGUGAUUAUGGGUUCCACACUAAUACAAUUCAUUCUUAUUUGUAACAUUUACAGGUUUUAUAAUGUGACUCUCAACAUUGGGCACCCACCAAGGCCAUAUUUUCUUGAUAUUGACACGGAUAGCGACUUAACAUGGCUUCAAUGUGAUGCACCUUGCUCCCGUUUCUCUCAGGUACUCACUUCACUCAUUCAUUGAAAAUAUUAAAAAUUACCAGGCAAAUUAACAGCUUUGAAUUGCAAAACCUUUUUCUCGCAAUGAGAUUCAAUUAUGAUUGUAUUGUGCCUUGUAAUAAAAUAUGAUAUUUGACACUAUAUGGUUCAAAAUUUGAUAAAUUGGAAAUAUGAUGCUAUCGUGCCCGAAUGAUAUUGGAUACGAAAUUUGAUAUUUGGAUUAUGUGGUCCUAAAUUUGAGAAACCGAAUUGACGGAGAAUGACAUUGGAUGUGGAAUUUGAUAUUUUGAUUAUGUGGUUAGAAAUAUGAUAAACUGAAUUGAUGGCAAAUUACAUUGGAUACGGAAUUUGAUAUUUGGAUUAUGUGGUCUAAAUUUGAUAAAUUGAAUUGACGGAGAUGAAUUAUUUGGUCCUAUAUUUGAUAAAUUGAAUUGACGGAGAUAAAUUGAAUUGACGGAGAAUGACAUUGGAUAUGAAAUUUGAUAUUUCAAUUAUGUGGUUUGAAAUUUGAUAAAUUGAAUUGACGGCGAAUGAUAUCGGAUACAUAAUUUGAUAUUUGGAUCAUGUGAUCCAUAAUUUGAUAAACUGAAUUCAUGACACUAUGAAUUUUUAUUUUAUGGUCUAAAUGCAAUUUGAAUAUGAACCUUUUAUUCAUAACUUGAAAUGCAAGUCGAGAUGACCCUUGAUAAUGAUUUUCUCAUAACGGUAAAUAAGAAAGAUGGUUGUGUGUGGUGCCUUGGUGCUUUAGAUUUAAAAAUGAGUAUAUGUCCCUCAAUGUCUCUAAAUUGAGUUUAUGUCCCUUGAUGUCCUUAUAUUGAGUUUAUGUACCUCGAUGUCCAUAAAAUUGAUGGCCUGAAUGCAAUUUCGAUGUGAAUGCUUCAUAACCUCAAAUGUAAGUGGAGAAGUCGCUUGGCACAUUAGAUGCAAAAUUGAAUAUAUGUCUCUCAAUGUCCCUAAAUUGAAUAUAUUUCCCAAGAUGUCCCUAAAUUGAAUAUAUGUACCUUGAUGUCCCUAAAUUAGAUGUUCAUAGUUCUGUUUUGUUGCCUAUUAUGAAGUUUAUGGGAACAACGUUUGGGAACAAGUGCUAGACUCAAGCUUUAUAGUCGAAAAUUGUGUUUAUCAUUUACUUUAAUGUUGGAAUUUUUUAGUGUAGAGAUUAUGUUCUGUUUCAGGUCUGAUGCGUGCGAUUGCUCCGGGUCUGAUACGGGAUAGUCCUUUGCUGAAUUCGCUACAACGGCUGAGCCUGGUUCUGCGCACACAUAUACGGCUGCUGUUAAUUGGAAAAGUCUGACCCCGGGGCAAUUCAAAUUCAAUACUAGUGCAUCCUUUGCGUCACAUUUAAAUAGAAUUGGGAUUGGAAUAUGCAUCCAUGAUGAACUUGGUCAAUUUGUGCUUUCAAAGACAUAAUUGAUUGCCCAUCUUUGUGGAGUGGAUGUUGGUGGACCUCUUGGUGAGUAUAUGUCCCUAAAAUGUCGGUAUGUCCCUUGAUCUCUCUAAAUUGAGUUUUUGUCCCUCGGUCGGUGUCCCUAAAUUGAGUUUAUGUCUCUUGAUGUCCAUAAAAUUGAUGGUCUAAAUGCAAUUUCAACGUGAAUAGUUAUUCAUAACCACCAAUGUAAGUGGAGAAGACCCUUGACGCCUUCGAUGCAAAAUUGAAUAUCUGUCCCUUGAUUAAUUGAAUACGCGUUGGAUAGAAAAAAAAUGAUAUUUGAGGCUAUAUGGUUCAAAAUUUGAUAAAGAGGAAAGAUGAUGCUAUCGUGCCCGAAUACAAAAUUUGAUAUUUAGAUGAUGUGGUCCUAAAUUGUCGGAGAAUGACAUUGGAUGUGGAAUUUGAUAAACUGAAUUGAUGGCAAAUUACAUUGGAUACAAAAUUUGAUAUUUGGAUUGUGGUCUAAAUUUGAUAAAUUGAAUUGAUGGAGAUGAAUUAUGUGGUCCUAAAUUUGAUUACCAGAAUUGACGGAGAAUGACAUUGGAUAUGAAAUUUGAUAUUUGUAUUAUGUGGUUGGAAAUUUGAUAAAUUGAAUUGACGGCGAAUGAUAUUGGGUUGAUAUUUGGAUCAUGUGAUCCUAAAUUUGAUAAACUAAAUUGAUGGUACUAUGAAUUCUUAUUUUAUGGUCUAAAUGCAUUUUGAAUAUGAACAUUUUAUUCAUAACUUGAAAUGCAAGGCUAGAUGACCCUUAGAUUUUCUCAUAACGGUAAAUAAGAAAGAUGAUUGUGUGUGUGCCUUGGUGCUUUAGAUGCGAAAUUGAGUAUAUUGUCCCUCAAUGUCCCUAAAUUGAGUUUAUGUCCCUCGAUGUCCUUAUAUUGAGUUUAUCUACCUCGAUGUCCCUACAUUGAUGGUCUUAAUGCAAUUUCAAUGUCAAUGCUUCAUAACUUCAAAUGUAAGUGGAAAAGUCCCUUGGCACCCUAGAUGCAAAAUUGAAUAUAUGUCCCUCAAUGUCCCAAAAUUGAAUAUAUAUCCCAAGAUGUCCCUAAAUUGAAUAUAUGGACCUAGAUGUCCCUGAAUUAGAUGUUCAUAGUUCUGGUCUGUUUUGUUGCCUAUUAUGAAGUUUACGGAACAACGUUUGGGAACAAGUGCUUGACUCAAGCUUUAUAGUCGAAAAUUGUGUUCAUCGGUUACUUUUUUUUUUAACAGCAAAAUAUAUUAUUAUAAAUUGUGUUCAUCAGUUACUUAAAUGUCGGAACUUUUUGGCGCAGAGAUUCUGUUCUGUUUCAGGUCUGAUGCAGGCUGAACCUGCGACUGCUUCGGGUCUGAUACAGGAUGAUCCUUUGCGUCACAUUUAAAUAGAGUUGGGAUUCGAAUAUGCAUCCGUGACAAACUUGGUUAGUUUGUGCUUUCAAAGACAAAACUGAUUGCCCUUCUUUGUGGAGUGGAUGUUGGUGAACCUCUUGGUAAGUAUAUGUUCAUAAAUUGAUGGUAUGACCCUCAAUAUCUCUAAAUUGAGUUUUAGUCCCUCGAUGUCCUUAAAAUUGAUGGUCUGAAUGCAAUUUCAAUGUGAAUGCUUAUUGACGACUACAAAUGUAAGUGGAGAAUACCCUUGGUGCCUUAGAUGAAAAAAUUGAAUAUAUGUUCGUCGGUGUCGGUAAAUUAAAUAUAUGUUCCUCGAUGUCCCUAUUGAUGGUCUGAAUGUAUUUUAAAGGUGAACGCUUAAUCUUGAUUAUCCAACAAUGUGCUAAAUUGGUGAAUCUUGAUAAAUCAAACCUAUGAAAGCUAUUUUGGAAAGUAAAAAAUUGUAUAAUGGCUAAAAGAAUUCUUAAGUCGAGUAUUGAGAUCAUGUGUUCGGAUGACCCUAACGAGAUGGAUUUUUAUGAAAAAUGUGGUUUACGUUAUGAAUUCUUAUUUUAUGGUCUAAAUGUAAUUUGAAUAUGAAAGUUUUAUUCAUAACUUGAAAUGCAAGUCGAGAUGACUCUUAAUAAUGAUUUUCUCAUAACGGUAAAUAAGGAAGAUGGUUGUGUGUCGUGGUGCCUUCGAUGCGAAAUUGAGUAUAUAUCCCUUGAUGUCCCAAAAUUGAGUUUAUGUGCAUUGAUGUCCCUAAAUUGAGUUUAUGUACCUCGAUGUUCCUAAAUUGAGAGUAUGUCCCUCGAUGUCCAUAAAAUUGAUGGUCUGAAUGUAAUUUCAAUGUGAACGCUUCAUAAUUUCAAAUGUAAAUUCAAUAUAUGUUCCCUAAAAUGGAGAUGACCCUUGGUGCCUUAGAUGCAAUAUUGAAUAUAUGUCCCUCGAUGUCUUUUGAAUAUAUGUUCCUCGAUGUCCCUAAACUAGAUGUUCAUAAUUCUACUUUGUUUUGUUUAAUGUUGGAAUUUAGCGCAGAUGUAGUGAUCUGUUUCAGGUUUUAUGCAGGCAGAACAUGUGACUGAUUCGGGUCUGAUAAGGGUGGGUGCUUUGCUGAAUGCUACAGUGGCUGAGCCUGAUGCGGCGCAGACAUAUUCGACCGCUGUUAAUCGGAACAUCCCGACUCCUUUGCGACACAUUUAAAUAGAGUUGGGAUUGGAAUAUGCAUCCGCGACGAACUUGGUCAAUUUGUGCUUUCAAAGACAUAAUUGAUUGCCCAUAUUUGUGGAGUGGAUGUUGGUGGACCUCUUAGUGAGUAUAUGUCCCUAAAAUGUCGGUAUGUCCCUUGAACUCCCUAAAUUGUGUUUUUGUCCCUCGGUCGGUGUCCCUAAAUUGAGUUUAUGUCUCUCGAUGUCCAUAAAAUUGAUGGCCUAAAUGCAAUUUUAAUGUGAAUAGUUAUUCAUAACCACCAAUGUAAGUGGAGAAGAACCUUGACGCCUUCGAUGCAAAAUUGAAUAUAUGUCCCUUGAUAUCCGUAAAUUGAAUAUAUGUUCCUCGAUGUCCCUAUUGAUGGUAUGAAUGCAAUUUAAAUGUGAAUAUCUUGAUUAUCCAACAAUGUGCUAAAUUGGUGAAUCUUGAUUAUUCUUACCUAAGAAGGCUAAUAAUUUGAAUAUGAACGUUUUAUUCAUAACGGUAAAUUGGAAAGAUGGUUGUGUGCCUUGGUGCUUUCGAUGCAAAAUUGAGUAUAUGUCCCUCAAUGUCCCUAAAUGGAGUAUAUGGGAACAAGUGCUAGACUCAAGCUUUACAGUCGAAAAUUGUGUUUGAGUCUCAAUGACCCUAUAUUGUUGGUCGAAAUGCAUUUUCAUUAUGAACUUACUCAUAACUUGACAUACAGCUCAAAACAACCCUUGAUAUAGUGAUUAUAUGAUGCUUUCUUAAUAAUGAUAAAUUGGCACGGUAGUAGUGUGCUUUGGUUACCUUAUAUGCAUGAUUAAUUAUAUGUCCCUUGAUGACUUUGAAUGCAAAAUUCUAUAUUUGAGCUUUGGUAACCAAUUGUUGGCCUAAAUGCAAUUUUAUUAUUAAUGUGUAUUAAUAAUUUAAAAUGCAUGUUGAGACGACCCUUGAUGCAAUGACUAUUCCACAUUUUUAAUAAAUUUGGAUGUUGGUAGUGUACUAGUGUGCCUUGGUAACCUUAGAUGUCUUUGAUGACUUUGAAUGCAAAAUUUUGAUAUUUGAGCCUUCUUACUCUGUAUUGGUGGCCUAAUUGCAAUUUUAUUAUAUUGUUUACUCAUAACUUUAAAUGUAAUUUGAGAUGACCCCUGCUUCAAACUUCUACCCUAGCUAAACAAGUGAUUUUGAAAAUAUAAUUUUUUGAUUUUGAGAAGCUUUAUAAGAUGGCACAUAAAUUCUCAAAAGAUUGUUUCAAGAAACAUAAUAGUGUAAUUCAUAAUGCUUGUUUGGAAUUUCUUCCAAGGCUACGCAAAUGAUUUUAAAAAUAUAAUUGUUACUUUUAAUUUUGAGAAGCUUUGUCAGACAGUAGCCAUGAUUCCUUUUUAAAGUGAUUCCAACAUGCCAAUUAGUGUGGAAUACUUUAAUUAUCAAUCUGCAUUGAUCUAUCUUGUACUAAGCUGGUGACUUUUUAUGUUUCAAAUAAUUUUAACAAUGCAUCUUCCGACACAAUCAAUCACUAGUUAUUGCAAAGUUACUUCCCUCUCAGGAUAACAUAACUGGAUCCAUUAGUUUUUUGUAUCUUAGAGAUUCUCUUCAGGAUCUAAGUAAUGUCAGCGAAUACGAGUCAUACUCAAUAGACAUGAAACUGGUAAGUAUUUUCCAUUCCAACCGAAGGAAAAAAUAAUGACAAAAGUUUCACAUAUUUUUAUUGCAUAUAAACUUUGUGACAUGCACACUUCACUUAUCAUCAAUGUAGUCUAUAUAAUACUACUAUUAAUACAAACAGAAGCAUUUAUUAUUAUAAUGCAUAUACGAUUAAUUAUUCGUUAUUCACUUUCUAUAAUGAAUAACACAAACAGAAGCUAAUAAGAGCUGUUAUCAUUCUCCACUCUCUGUGAUCCUCAUUUGAUUCAGAUAUGAUUUUCUAUGGAGCUCUUGUGAAAAGAACCCAUUGAAAUGGUCUAAAACACUAAUUUUUCUAAACUGUGCUGGUCUUUCUUGAGUUACAAGACUUGGUGCUGGAGCUAACAUUGCUUGCGUGUUAGGGCCAUGAAAAGCAGCUAGCGUAAUCCUCUCUAUCUCUGAAUUAACGGUUGCUCGAUGCAAAAUACUUGGGUAAAUUCCAUUUGUAAUAACCUGCAAAUUAAACCAUGAUUGUCAAUGCAAAUAUUCAAAAGUUAUGAAUGAUUUUAAUCAUAUAUAUACCUCUAACAUGUCUCCGAUAUUGACGAUGAAAGCAUCAGGCAGAGGUUUAACAGGAAUCCAUUGUUCAUCCUUUAGUACUUGAAGGCCUUCUAUGUCGCUGAUUUGAAGUAGGAUGGUUAGGGCACAAGCAUCAGAAUGAGAUUUUAUGCCAACGACUUUUUCUGGUUGAGGACAUGGAGGAUAAUAAUUUACCCUUAUGAAUUGAGUUCCUAUGUUAAACAAUUCUGUCAUUUCCUUAGGAUUUAUUGCAAGAGCAUUUGCCAUAAGUUCAAUGAUUUUGAUGGUAAGUUUUUCCAAUUCUGCAGAAAAUAUCUCCAAAUUUUCUCUGCAUUUGAAUAAGGAUGAUAAAGUCACUAACACAAAUAAUCAUCAAUUAAUCUAGUAAAUUUGUGAAAACUAAA